rnacentral:rRNA from 1 species
GACGAACGCUGGCGGCGUGCCUAAUACAUGCAAGUCGAGCGGACGGAUGGGAGCUUGCUCCCAGACCGUCAGCGGCGGACGGGUGAGUAACACGUGGGCAACCAGCCUGUAAGACUGGGAUAACUCCGGGAAACCGGGGCUAAUACCGGAUAACUCUUUCCCUCACAUGAGGGAAAGCUGAAAGAUGGCAUCUCGCUAUCACUUACAGAUGGGCCCGCGGCGCAUUAGCUAGUUGGUGAGGUAACGGCUCACCAAGGCGACGAUGCGUAGCCGACCUGAGGGGUGGGUCGGCCCCACGGGGACUGGAACACGGCCCAGACCCCCACGGGAGGCAGCAGUAGGGAAUCUUCCGGAAUGGGCCAAAGCUGGACGGGGAAACGCCGGGGGGGUGAUGAAGGUUUUCGGACCUUAAAACCUUUUUUUAAGGGAAAAACGAGGUCCGGGGGAAAAGCCCGCACCUUGGCGGUAGCUGACCAGAAAGCCACGGCUAACUACGUG